rnacentral:lncRNA from 1 species
CGCGGGUUUAGAGGCACCUAGGACGCUCCAGGAAUCGGGUGUCCCUGGCCCUGGCCGGGGGCUGCCCCCGGGAGCAGCGUCCAGGCCCAUGUCGGAUGCAGUCUAAAGGACUGCGUGGAGGAGGCGGCGCCGGGGCGAGACCUCCAGAGCGCACGGCCGGCGGGAGAAAAGCUGAGGAAGUGGGAAAUCUGUGGCUGGAGCUCAGCAGAUUGCAACACUUCUACAUCAAGAAAAUGUGGCAAUAAGGCUGCCAAACCCUCCUGUCUUCUGAACCGAAUCCUUGUAGAUUCUGGAUAUCGCACCUUCAUAGGAAUAUUCUGAGAAUAUUUUCUCCUGUUCGGUAAGCUGUCUGUUUACUCUGUGAUAGUUUCUUUUGCUGUGCGUACACUCUUCAGUGUCACUAGGUCCCACUUGUCAAUGUGUUGUUGUUGUUGUUGCAAUUGCUUUUGAGGACUUAAGUAAUAAAUUCUUUCCCAAGGCUGAUGUCCAGAAUGGUGUUUCCUAGGUUUUCUUCUAGGAUUCUUAUAGUUUGUGGUCUUUCAUUUAAAUCUUUAAUCCAUCUUUAGUUUUUGUAUAAGGUGAAAGGUAG